rnacentral:lncRNA from 1 species
CUGGCUAUAUCUACAUCCUUGUGGAGGAGUGGUCCGACGUCUGCAGCAUCAGCAAGACACCCUUGUGGAGGAGUGGUCCUUGCGGCCCCAAAGGUAUCCUUGUUUGCUGCGUCUUCCAAUCCAACUCGUUCGUUGUCCUUGCACCAGCAUGUGUGUAGUACGAUUAAUUAGAGAGAUGUAUAUAUAUAUAUAUAUAUAUAUAUAUAUAUAUAUAUAUAUAUAUAUAUAUAUAUAUAUAUAUAUAUAUAUAUAUAUUACUGCAAAGCCCAUGACUGUAUGUACCUUUUUUGCAUGGCGCAGACCCGCAGUCGCUUUGCAAGGUGUCCGGUAUCAGGCAGCGGCAGGCGCGGCGGGGCGACGAUGGCCGGCUCGGGGCCAGUGGCGCCGACCCACUCAGCGCUCAGCGGCAAGGCCGCCUCGCCCAACGACGCCGCCGUGGCCGCACCAGCACACCCCAAGGUGAAGUUGAAAGAGAGUGGACGUGUGGACCGGUCGCUGCCGUUCAAGAGACGGCGUAAGGUGGUCCGGGUCCAGCAGCAUGGCGGCUGUCGUGCAGGCCACCGCCGAGGAUGGUGACGACGAUUCCUGUCCCAGCGGGACCUGCUUUAAUUUGUCGACGAUGCUGGUCUCGGCUUAUCAGCUGGAUCGGAGCAGGAGUCCAGUGGCUGUGCAGCCCUCCUGCCGCUUCAAGGCGUCGCGGGCGUUGCCGGAGCAGCUAGCUAGCAGGGCGAGAUCACGGAUGCUGCCGUGCUACUCAUGACGCUGCCCAGGGGCCUUGUCCGGAGCUGAUCGACGAUCGAUCUACCUCUACAAAGGCCCCAGCACCGCGUAGGCUUUUGGCAGCUAGCUCGUCGUCUACUGUACGACCUGUAGUGUUUUUUAUUUGGCUCCUUUGUUAUGUUGCUAGUGUAACCCGUGUAACUGUUCAUGUCAUGUGAUUCGUUUGAUGAGAGAGAGCAGAGAGUUGAGAAUGAGAUGGUAUAGGAGCGAGAACAUCACAAGCGGAUCGGAAGUAAUAUAAUAUGGCA